AGAGAGAGAGAGAGAGAUCGUGAAGGCAUUAACCAAGAGAAUAGAGGGAGCAAUCAGGUUAGAGAUUCUGAGCUGAACCGGCAAGGGGAAGGAUUCUCGAUAGAAUAAACCAGAGCUGUACUGGCAGGAGUGACACAGUGAGGAUGCAUGAACUAGAAUAAUUCAGGAUAGCUGGCUCAGGGAAAAGAAAAAUCCGGCUACAAAUGCCAGAGAGCCAGAGAAACACCAGUGAUGAACCAGUGUGCGGAAAUUUCAUAGAUAGACAUGGGACUGUACAACACAAGAGUCCUCGCUUAUUAAAAGCCCAAAGCAAAUGGGCCCAUAUGCUUCCUGGCCCUAAACAAGACUGGAAUAGUCGGACGUUUAAAAAAAAAUCGUAGAUACGUUAAUUGCAAACGUUUCGAUUCUUGAUAAAUGGUGACAAUACUGGAUAAAAACAAAGGUGUUGGUUGCUUAAAUAACACAACGUGGGCGUGAGGUGGAAGCUGCGAGACUGCAAAAGGAAAUGUUCACGAGGAACACGGAGAAAUUCUAAUUAGAAAACUGAUGAAAAGGUUUGUCCCUUUCGGGGCUUUGUCCAAACCAACCGUUUAAAGACCCACCUGAGCAAAUGGAGUACUCACAAUCUGCUCCACAUCGAUUCUACACAAAAUCCAUAUUUUACAGUAAUAAUAACUUUCUACACAGAAAAUGGUUCCUUCCGACAUUAAAGGAAUUACAAUAAGACGUGUAUCACUUUUCUCAACCCAACAAAGUGUCAUUCUGUGAAAUAUUCAAGGCUCUAAACAUAACCCACAGCUAUACAACUUUUAGGACUGACAAAUGUAUUUUUUUUUUUUGAAGAAGUGUUUCUCUAUCAAUUAAUUCUGGAUAUUUUCACAGCUAUAAAUAAAACAAAUAACAAACUGAGGCGCACUCCUUCAAGGUAAUCAGUAAAAAGCGUUCAAGUAUCAAGGAUGACAAAAAAACACUCAUUCAACUGCCACCAACUGAUAUCAGGAAUUCUCGCCUCCGAUUUUUACUUUUCACAUUGAUGAUAGAUUUGAGAAGUUCUGAAUAAAUUUCCGGAACAACAUCGCCUAUUUUUAAAUAAACUCUAUAAAAGCACAACAGCGCCACGCCGGUGAAAACCACUUCAGAAGGUCGAAGCCAAUGCAAAAGGCGACAAGAAAACUUGGUGUAUCCACCAUUGCAAACAACGCUACAGCCAAGUUUCUCAGAUGUGUUGCCUAAUUGCAGAAAACGCAAAUGCUUCUUGCUCACGUUGGUAUCCAAUUCCUAACACAGGAACACAGCAAAAUACAAAUUGCAUAACACCGAGAUCACAGAGAAACAUAGUGUGGUGUGCUAAAUUAUUCGAGGAAGGAAAUUUUAAAUGUGGAUACGAUGGAAGAAAUCGGUUUAAGCUCGUCUCCAAAUCAUCAUUGUGGGUCGUUUUAUAUAUGGAAAAACAAAAUCCUGCAAAAACACACAUUUUUACGGGAAACUGUAUAUCUAUCAGACAGUAUUUAUAUCUGAUAAAUGUUUAUGUCGAUACAACAUACUGUAUUUUCUAGCAUUUCUUAAACAGACAUAGGAAUACGGGUUAU